rnacentral:rRNA from 1 species
UACGUAGGAUCCGAGCGUUAUCCGGAUUUAUUGGGUUUAAAGGGAGCGUAGGUGGAUUGUUAAGUCAGUUGUGAAAGUUUGCGGCUCAACCGUAAAAUUGCAGUUGAAACUGGCAGUCUUGAGUACAGUAGAGGUGGGCGGAAUUCGUGGUGUAGCGGUGAAAUGCUUAGAUAUCACGAAGAACUCCGAUCGCGAAGGCAGCUCACUGGACUGCAACUGACACUGAGGCUCGAAAGUGUGGGUAUCAAACAGG